UACAGAGGGUGCGAGCGUUACUCGGAAUUACUGGGCGUAAAGCGCGCGUAGGCGGCUUUGCAAGUCGAUUGUGAAAUCCCCAGGCUUAACCUGGGAACUGCAUUCGAGACUGCAUAGCUAGAGUAUGGGAGAGGGAAGUGGAAUUUCAGGUGUAGCGGUGAAAUGCGUAGAUAUCUGAAGGAACAUCAGUGGCGAAAGCGACUUCCUGGACCAAUACUGACGCUCAUGUGCGAAAGCGUGGGGAGCAAACAGG
rnacentral:rRNA from 1 species